AUUUUUAGAAAAUAAAUGUUUCUGUUGUCUCCUGUCGGUUUACUUCACAUUUUGAUGCAACAACAGUGUGAUUACGUGCUCAUUUCAUUAAAACCACUGAUGUCUGUGUUGUUCAUUGCAGAACUAAAACCAACUUUGGAGUUGUCUGAUUUGGAGAGUCAUCAUUCUUGGUCUUCCCUCUUAAAGGCAGCUGAUGAAGAACAGGCGGUGACUGGAUGAAUGCUGGUCAAAGAAGAGAACGUCCUUUCCCCUAAACUGAUGCAGCAGUGGUUUUAAAUGAGGACGCUGCCCUGGAUGAUGUAGAAGAUGUCACACGUGCUGAAGGGGCUUCUUCAUGACUACAUCAAUUAUUCUGAAGAGAUCAUUGAAAUUGACAGAAUGCAUGAUCUGUAUUCAUGGACUAUGAAACAAACUGUAAGUGUAUAAUUUGUAAAAACAAUGUUAAAUGCUUGUUCUGUGUUGUUUAGUAGAAGAGUUUACACUCUGUCAUUCAUACACAUGCUCACAUUCUUUCACACACACACAGACACACACACGUCUGUUAAAUGUUAUAAUAUCAGAGUUAAUGUUGUGAUUUAUUUGUGUACUGUCAUGCCAGAAUAGUUCGUAAAGAACCUAACUAAUUGUAAAUUUAUUGUAUAAUAGUGUUUUUGUAUAUUUUUAUACAAUAUAUACAAUUGAACAAAGUCCAAUUUGAUCUUAAGUUAUUUUCAACAAAUGUUCAAUGCUUUAUGAACUCUGUAGCUGUUAAUACCAUCCUUUUCUGCAUUUCUUCUUACAUGUUACUUUUUGACUUUUCUCUUGUUUUUAAUAAAUAUUUUCCUUUUGAUAAUUAU